CCGCCAGAAAACUACNAGCNAAAAGCUUAAAACUCAAAGGACUUGGCGGUGCUCCACACCGACUUAGAGGAGCCUGUCCUAUAAUCGAUACACCACGCUAAACCUCACCAACCUUUGCCAAGCCAGCCUAUAUACCGCCGUCGUCAACCUACCUCAUGAGAGAAAAACAGUAAGUACAAAAGUUCAGUAACUAAAACGUCAGGUCAAGGUGUAGCUAAUAGGUCGGAAGAGAUGGGCUACAUUUUUU
rnacentral:rRNA from 1 species